AGGAGGAAGAAUGAGAGAAGUGCUAAAUAUAUUGAAUCUGUUACCAGUGUUCCUCUUUCAGAUUAUGCUGAGGAUUCCAGGUCUACAACGUCCACGCUGGCAACAAAUACAACAGGGGCUUCAAGUAUCUUCAAAACCUCCUCACUGUUCACGAUUGACAAAAAGUACGAGUUUUCAAGAAAUCAGCUGAUUAUCGAGGAAACUCUAGGCGAAGGAGAAUUUGGAAAGGUUGUC